rnacentral:rRNA from 1 species
GUGCAAAGGCAUAAGCUAGCUUGACUGCGAGAGUGACGGCUCGAGCAGGUGCGAAAGCAGGUCUUAGUGAUCCGGUGGUUCUGAAUGGAAGGGCCAUCGCUCAACGGAUAAAAGGUACUCCGGGGAUAACAGGCUGAUACCGCCCAAGAGUUCAUAUCGACGGCGGUGUUUGGCACCUCGAUGUCGGCUCAUCACAUCCUGGGGCUGAAGUAGGUCCCAAGGGUAUGGCUGUUCGCCAUUUAAAGUGGUACGCGAGCUGGGUUUAGAACGUCGUGAGACAGUUCGGUCCCUAUCUGCCGUGGGCGCUGGAGAAUUGAGGGGGGCUGCUCCUAGUACGAGAGGACCGGAGUGGACGCAUCACUGGUGUUCGGGUUGUCAUGCCAAUGGCAUUGCCCGGUAGCUAAAUGCGGAAGAGAUAAGUGCUGAAAGCA